AGUGAACGCUGGCGGUAGGCCUAACACAUGCAAGUCGAACGGCAGCACGGUAAGAGCUUGCUCUUACGGGUGGCGAGUGGCGGACGGGUGAGGAAUACAUCGGAAUCUACUUUUUCGUGGGGGAUAACGUAGGGAAACUUACGCUAAUACCGCAUACGACCUACGGGUGAAAGCAGGGGAUCUUCGGACCUUGCGCGAUUGAAUGAGCCGAUGUCGGAUUAGCUAGUUGGCGGGGUAAAGGCCCACCAAGGCGACGAUCCGUAGCUGGUCUGAGAGGAUGAUCAGCCACACUGGAACUGAGACACGGUCCAGACUCCUACGGGAGGCAGCAGUGGGGAAUAUUGGACAAUGGGCGCAAGCCUGAUCCAGCCAUACCGCGUGGGUGAAGAAGGCCUUCGGGUUGUAAAGCCCUUUUGUUGGGAAAGAAAAGCAGCAGGUUAAUACCCCGCUGCUCUGACGGUACCCAAAGAAUAAGCACCGGCUAACUUCGUG
rnacentral:rRNA from 1 species